UGGGGAAUCUUGCGCAAUGGGCGAAAGCCUGACGCAGCAACGCCGCGUGCGGGAUGAAGGCCUUCGGGCUGUAAACCGCUUUCAGCAGGAACGAAAAUGACGGUACCUGCAGAAGAAGGAGCGGCCAACUACGUGCCAGCAGCCGCGGUGACACGUAGGCUCCAAGCGUUGUCCGGAUUUAUUGGGCGUAAAGAGCUCGUAGGCGGUUUAGUAAGUCGGGUGUUAAAACUCUGGGCUCAACCCGGAGAGGCCAUCCGAUACUGCUGUGACCUUGAGUUCAGGAGGGGAGCGGGGAAUUCCUAGUGUAGCGGUGAAAUGCGCAGAUAUUAGGAGGAACACCGGUGGCGAAGGCGCCGCUCUGGACUGAAACUGACGCUGAGGAGCGAAAGCAUGGGUAGCAAACAGGAUUA
rnacentral:rRNA from 1 species